GGGUGAGUAAUACAUAGACAACCUGCCCCCGAGACCGGGACAACUUCGGGAAGUGCCGAUAUUGCCCACUGGAGCUAAUACCGGAUACGAUACCUGCUCGCAUGAGUGGGAUAUGAAAUGUUUUUCGCUCGUGGAGGGGUCUAUGUUCUAUCAGCUAGUUGGUGGGGUAAAAGCUCACCAAGGCAAUGACGGAUAGCGGGCCUGAGAGGGUGGCCCGCCACACUGGGACUGAGACACUGCCCAGACUCCUACGGGAGGCUGCAGUUAAGAAUCAUUCACAAUGCCCGCAAGGGUGAUGAUGCGACGUCGCGUGGGGGAUGAAGGCCUUCGGGUUGUAAACCCCUGUUAGGGAGCAAGAACCGACCUUCGGGUCCUGACUACUCCCAGAGGAAGCCCCGGCUAACUCCGUGCCAGCAGCAGCGGUAAGUCGGAGAGGGCGAGCGUUGUUCGGAACUACUGGGCUUAAAGGGCAUGUAGGCGGACAGGCAGGUCAGGGGUGAAAGCCCUCGGCUUAACCGGGGAAGUGCUCUUGAAACCGCCUGUCUUGAGGAGAGCAGAGGAAAGUGGAACUUCUGGUGGAGGGGUGAAAUCCGUUGAUAUCAGAAGGAACGCCAGAGGCGAAAGCGACUUUCUGGGCUCUCUCUGACGCUGAGGUGCGAAAGCGUGGGGAGCGAACGGGAUUAGAUACCCCGGUAGUCCACGCCGUAAACGAUGGGCACUUGCUAGAGGAGGUCCCAAGCUUUCUCUAGCGGAGCGAAAGUGUUAAGUGCCCCGCCUGGGGAGUACGGUCGCAAGGCUAAAACUCAAAAGAAUUGACGGGGGCUCACACAAGCGGUGGAGCAUGUGGCUUAAUUCGAGGCAACGCGAAGAACCUUAUCCAGGGUUUGACAUGCUAGUGGUACCAACCUGAAAGGGAAGGGACCUUCUAUACGGAGGAGCUAGCACAGGUGCUGCAUGGCUGUCGUCAGCUCGUGUCGUGAGAUGUUGGGUUAAGUCCCGUAACGAGCGAAACCCUUGCCCUUAGUUGCCAGCGGUUCGGCCGGGGACUCUAGGGGGACUGCCGCGUUAAGCAGGAGGAAGGUGGGGAUGACGUCAAGUCCGCAUGGCCUUUAUGCCCUGGGCUGCACACGUGCUACAAUGGUCGGUACAAAGGGAAGCAAGACCGCGAGGUGGAGCAAAUCCCCAAAAGCCGGCCCCAGUUCGGAUUGGAGGCUGCAACUCGCCUCCAUGAACGUCGGAAUCGCUAGUAAUCGCGGAUCAGCAGGCCGCGGUGAAUAUGUUCCUGAGCCUUGUACACACCGCCUGUCAAGCCACCCAAGUCAGGUCUACCCGAAGUCAGAGACCUAACCCGCAAGGGAGGGAUCUGCCGAAGGUGGGUUUGGCGAGGGGGACUAAGUCAUAACAAGGUA
rnacentral:rRNA from 1 species